rnacentral:rRNA from 1 species
UACGGAGGGGGCGAGCGUUAUUCGGAAUUAUUGGGCGUAAAGCGCACGUAGGCGGAUAUUUAAGUCAGGGGUGAAAUCCCGGGGCUCAACCCCGGAACUGCCUUUGAUACUGGGUAUCUAGAGUAUGGUAGAGGUGAGUGGAAUUCCGAGUGUAGAGGUGAAAUUCGUAGAUAUUCGGAGGAACACCAGUGGCGAAGGCGGCUCACUGGACCAUUACUGACGCUGAGGUGCGAAAGCGUGGGGAGCAAACAGG